ACGCCCGUAGCUCAACUGGUAGAGCAGCGGUCUCCAAAACCGCAGGUUGGGGGUUCGAGUCCCUCCGGGCGUG
rnacentral:tRNA from 1 species